rnacentral:rRNA from 1 species
GUGGGGAAUCUUCCGCAAUGGACGAAAGUCUGACGGAGCAACGCCGCGUGAGUGAUGAAGGUCUUCGGAUUGUAAAGCUCUGUUAAUCGGGACGAAAGAGCCUAGUGUGAAUAAUGCUAGGAAGUGACGGUACCGGAAUAGAAAGCCACGGCUAACUACGUGCCAGCAGCCGCGGUAAUACGUAGGUGGCAAGCGUUGUCCGGAAUUAUUGGGCGUAAAGCGCGCGCAGGCGGAUCUGCCAGUCUGUCUUAAAAGUUCGGGACUUAACCCCGUGAUGGGAUGGAAACUACAGAUCUAGAGUAUCGGAGAGGAAAGUGGAAUUCCUAGUGUAGCGGUGAAAUGCGUAGAUAUUAGGAAGAACACCAGUGGCGAAGGCGACUUUCUGGACGAAAACUGACGCUGAGGCGCGAAAGCCAGGGGAGCGAACGGGAUUAGAAACCCCUGUAGUCC